rnacentral:misc_RNA from 1 species
GGGCAUUACUCGUCUAUUGAAGAUAACAUGAGAUAAAGUAAUCCAUUUACAUAAAGCCAAACAUGACAUUGAAGACAACCCAACUGUAAAACCAACUUCCGUAGAUGACAUGCAUGAUUCAGCAUGUAGAGCUGCUUAUUAUGGCUUGGCAGGACGUUAGGGACAAGAAGAAGGCAAGAGCAGCUGCCGUGCAAGACAAGACUUUGCCUUAUCAUCGUCAACAAAAAAACAUGGAGAAGACAUUAGACAUAAGCAUGGAAAACGAAAACUGGGCCUCCUCAGACACUGUCAGCAUGUGUCGUCUUCAAUUAGGCUGCUCCUUCAGGGCUCAAAUGAAAUGAUAAAACUGGAGUUUACACUUGGCAGCCCUUGUCGAUACCUUAUAAUCACAAGACAAGCAUUUGAAUUGAUUGCUAAACUAUUAGUCCGUUAGCUAAAUUAUAAUGUCCAGAAGUGCUACUGGAACUCGUACAUGAUUAGCUUUCCAGACUGAAAUCAAGAGAACAGAAAAUACAGUAAAUUUCAUAUUUCUCGAUGUCAACGUCAUCAUUCUGAGUAUAUAUAGUAUCCAAAUUCGAACUAAAAAUUGCAAAAGGCAAAAAUGACAGGGAUCAAGUAGAAUUUGCCAACCUGUUUCCCUUGUUAGAAUGGCACCAAGCCCAAUGACCCAAUGUACCCUUUACCCUACCAACAUUUGAUACGCCAAAUCUGUUCCCUUUCAAUUUAAGGAAUCCUAGGAUUAACAUUCUACAUCAGUGUAUAGCCAUACACAUUAUAUUUACAUCCAAUAGCAAUCCCAAUAACUAAAAGACUCGAUCUACUCCAUUUUUCUCUCCGAAGCAAUCAUUCAUUAUUGUAAAACUCCACCCAAAACUCUUCUUAGCUCGGAUUUCUGCUCUGAGGUAAGCCUUGAUGGGUACCUGACAUCAAUCUUGAUUCUCAAAUUACCCUUCUUUCCAGGUUCUCUUGAAAUUGGCAUUCCUUCAUUUGGGACCAACACCUCGGCACCAGGUUUGACAAUAUCUGUUAGUGGGAUCAUGAGAUUCCUUCCAUCAAGUGUAGUAAACUCAAGGGUCUUACCCGUGAGGGCCUCCAGCAGUGUUAUCUCCUCAUUCACUACUAGAUCAUUACCAUCCCUCUUGUAAAUAGGGUGUAGUUUCUCAUCCACCACAAAAAUAAGAUCCGCAGGAAUAAUACCAGGCUCCUGGUUACCCUUCUCAGGAAAUGUGAUCUUCGUACCCUUCUUCCAACCAGGUUUUAUAUCAAUAGUCAGUAUUUCUUCAAGAGUCUGAAACUUACUGCAAGAGAAUUGUUAAAAUUUGAAGUCAAUAUCAAAAUGCAGAGGCAAAUACAUUUGUUCAAAGUUCAUUCUUGAGACAAUAGAUACUCCUGAGACAGAUAUUUAUUCCUUGUGCUCUUUCAUUUGUCAUCCAGAACAGGGAAGUUACAGUAGCCAUGAAAAAAAAAUCAAGUGUAAGACAAAACAAAAUUGAAAAGAAAGAAAAAUACAAAUAUUGAAUAACACAUUUCAUUCAAAGAAAUGUAAUAGUCAGCUGCUCUAGCAAACAAAGAGGUGGGCGGGGGUGUAAAAAAAAGGAAAAACCAAACUAGAUUGUUGGUAUUCAUUCAAUUUCAGGCGUAUCCCACCACGAAGGAAACCAAAAAUGCUUGUAACCUUAAACAUAGAGAAUCAAUUCCAUUCCAUAAAAUUUCCCUCCUCUUAUUCACCUUACAGGGCCAAUCAGUCUUCACUCUUUAGUAGAUGGUGCUUCUUGUAACUACUGGUGGAACGCUUCCAUCUUGUUGCCACUUGAAACAUCUCCGGACUGUUUUGUGUCAUAAUAGCCUAAAGGCCAAAUAAUGAAUAAGCAGCAAAAUCAUUUCAUUUCCACAAAAAUUUCCUUUAUAGAAAUCUGCAAGAAGAUUUAUGAUUGAAAUUCUUCAUCACUCAGCAGCAAAGAUGCUUUGAGAAUUUUUGAAUGUUAAUGAUAUUAAAUGAACCAAAGAACUAGUGAGGAACAAAAAUUUCUGAGCCCUGAGUGAUGAUACAGCAACUGAUGUAGACACACACCUGUUGGUAGUUCAUUCCAGAUCUCAUCAAAGAACAAGGUUCUCCUUAGCUUCAUUUGAAAAUUGCUUUACCAUCUUUACACUGCUUGACCAAGGUAGCUUUUGAACCAGACAAACCCAGCUAAAA